rnacentral:misc_RNA from 1 species
GGCCACCUCCAUGUGAAAUGCAAAAGCCAGAGAGUCCUUCAGCACUUCUCGUGCAAUUCUCUUCCUGGCAUCUCUUGCCCCCACCAUGUCUAAUGCAUAAUCCGGACUUCCCUCUGGCAGCACGGGUGCAGCCUUCAUGACUGCAACGGCGUCCACCCCCAUGUGCAAUGCAGAAACCAGUGCGUCCUUCUGCACUCUUGGUA